rnacentral:tRNA from 1 species
GUUAAUGUAGCUUAUAAUAAGCAAAGCACUGAAAAUGCUUAGAUAGGUAGCUACACCCCAUAAACA